rnacentral:rRNA from 1 species
CACAUCCGCAUCCUUUGCUGAGGAUACGGUUAACGGAGCGAAAGCGACGUUCAACCGCAAAACAAGCAGAGGGGGCUUAGUGGUGGGGUGACUGCGUACCUUUUGUAUAAUGGGUCAGCGACUUAUAUUCUGUAGCAAGGUUAACCGAAUAGGGGAGCCGGAGGGAAACCGAGUCUUAAUUGGGCGUUAAGUUGCAGGGUAUAGACCCGAAACCCGGUGAUCUAGCCAUGGGCAGGUUGAAGGUUGGGUAACACUAACUGGAGGACCGAACCGACUAAUGUUGAAAAAUUAGCGGAUGACCUGUGGCUGGGGGUGAAAGGCCAAUCAAACCGGGAGAUAGCUGGUUCUCCCCGAAAGCUAUUUAGGUAGCGCCUCGUGAAUUCAUCUCCGGGGGUAGAGCACUGUUUCGGCUAGGGGGCCAUCCCGGCUUACCAACCCGAUGCAAACUGCGAAUACCGGAGAAUGUUAUCACGGGAGACACACGGCGGGUGCUAACGUCCGUCGUGAAGAGGGAAACAACCCAGACCGCCAGCUAAGGUCCCAAAGUCAUGGUUAAGUGGGAAACGAUGUGGGAAGGCCCAGACAGCCAGGAUGUUGGCUUAGAAGCAGCCAUCAUUUAAAGAAAGCGUAAUAGCUCACUGGUCGAGUCGGCCUGCGCGGAAGAUGUAACGGGGCUAAACCAUGCACCGAAGCUGCGGCAGCGAACGUAUCACCCAAGACAACUUUACGGAGUUGACGAUUGACGGAGCGAAGCGACGUCAAAGCGUUCAUUAAAGUCGAGUUGGCUUAGGGAUACGUUCGUUGGGUAGGGGAGCGUUCUGUAAGCCUGUGAAGGUGUGUCGUGAGGCAUGCUGGAGGUAUCAGAAGUGCGAAUGCUGACAUAAGUAACGAUAAAGCGGGUGAAAAGCCCGCUCGCCGGAAGACCAAGGGUUCCUGUCCAACGUUAAUCGGGGCAGGGUGAGUCGACCCCUAAGGCGAGGCCGAAAGGCGUAGUCGAUGGGAAACGGGUUAAUAUUCCCGUACUUGGUGUUACUGCGAAGGGGGGACGGAGAAGGCUAUGUUGGCCGGGCGACGGUUGUCCCGGUUUAAGCGUGUAGGUGUGUGUUCCAGGUAAAUCCGGUUCACUUUAACACUGAGGCGUGACGACGAGGCACUACGGUGCUGAAGCAACAAAUGCCCUGCUUCCAGGAAAAGCCUCUAAGCAUCAGGUAACAC